UACAGAGGUCUCAAGCGUUUGUUCGGAUUCAUUGGGCGUAAAGGGUGUGUAGGUGGCGCCGUAAGUCGGGUGUGAAAUUUCGGAGCUUAACUCCGAAACUGCAUUCGAUACUGCGGUGCUUGAGGACUGGAGAGGAGACUGGAAUUCAUGGUGUAGCAGUGAAAUGCGUAGAGAUCAUGAGGAAGACCAGUGGCGUAGGCGGGUCUCUGGACAGUUCCUGACACUGAGACACGAAGGCCAGGGGAGCAAACGGG
rnacentral:rRNA from 1 species